rnacentral:rRNA from 1 species
UACGUAGGGUGCAAGCGUUUAAUCGGAAUUACUGGGCGUAAAGCGUGCGCAGGCGGUUUUUGUAAGUCAGAUGUGAAAUCCCCGGGCUCAACCCGGGAACUGCGUCCGAUACUGGUGGGCUUGAAUCCGGGGAGAGGGAUGCGGAAUUCCAGGUGUAGCGGUGAAAUGCGUAGAUAUCUGGAGGAACACCGGUGGCGAAGGCGGCAUCCUGGACCGGUAUUGACGCUG